GCCUCCGUGGCGCAGUGGUUUGCGCGGUGGAUUUACAAGACGUAGGUCCUGGGUUCGAUCCCCGGCUGGGCCG
rnacentral:tRNA from 1 species